GUCGAUUUAACCAAGGAUGACGAGGGAUGAACAAAGAUGUAGGGCGCUGCAGAGAAUUCUUCUGCAGGGUGAAAUCGAAAAAAUCAACAUACAGCUAGUACAACGGAGAACAGAGAGUGUUACCAGUGUAAUUUGUUACCAGUUUCCAACGUUGACAUCAUGGUAUAGUGGUAAACACCGAGGCCAUCAUGAGCGAAAGUUGUGGACCAUUCCCAGGUAAAAGUCUCGUAACUUUUCUUACAAUUUUUUCUUUAUUUUUUUUUCCAUUAUUUUUCCAAAAACUCUCUAAAUCGCACCUCCUAACAGCUGAAUAUUCAUUUUAGAUAAUUUUUUGUAUAUUCGGACAAUUUUGAAUCGAUUUAAGCAAGGAUGACGAGGGAUGAACAAGGAUGUAGCAUUUCUCAUUUGCAUACGGCUUGUACUCUGAAAAUCAUCUCAAAAUACGCUUUAAAAUUCUCCUGUUCCAAAACGAUCUGCAUCAAUAUGCGUUUUGAAACUUUCUCAGUCGAUCUGUAGCAAAAAAAUUUGUUUUAUUUUGCCCGAAAUGAAAGACGGCUUAGCACGGCUUAGUAUUUCUCAUUUGCAUGCGCCUUUUACUCAGAAAAGCAUCUCAAAAUGCGCUUUAAAAUUCUCCUGUGCCAAAACGUUCGGCAUCAAUAUGUGUUUUGAACCUUUCUUUAUCGAUCUAUAACGAAAAUUUUUUUUGGAUUUGCUUGCAAUUUUCUAAGUCAAACUUUGGUCGAAAUUUUCUAAGACAACACGGCUAAGAAUUCAUUUGCAUACGGCUUGUACUCUGAAAAUCAUCUCAAAAUGCGCUUUAACACUCUCCUGUGCCAAAACGUUCUGCAUCAAUAUGCGUUUUGAACCUUUCUCAGUGGAUCUAUAACAAAAUUUUUUUUUUCAUUUUGCCUGAAAUGAAAGACGGCUUAGCACGGCUUAGCACGGCUUAGCAUUUCUCAUUUGCAUGCGCCUUGUACUCAGAAAAUCAUCUCAAAAUACGCUUUAAAAUUCUCCUGUGCCAAAACGUUCGGCACAAUAUGUGUUUUGAACCUUUCUUUAUCGAUCUAUAACGAAAAAUUUUUUUCGAUUUGUUCGAAAUUUUCUAAGUCAAACUUUGGUCGAAAUUUUCUAAGCCAACACGGCUAAGAAUCAUUUGCAUACGGCUUUUACUCUGAAAAUCAUCUCAAAAUGCGCUUUAAAAUUCUCCUGUGCCAAAACGUUCUGCAUCAAUAUGCGUUUUGAACCUUUCUCAGUGGAUCUAUAACAAAAUUUUUUUUUCAUUUUGCCCGAAAUGAAAGACGGCUUAGCACGGCUUAGCACGGCUUAGCAUUUCUCAUUUGCAUGCGCCUUGUACUCAGAAAAUCAUCUCAAAAUACGCUUUAAAAUUCUCCUGUGCCAAAACGUUCGGCAUCAAUAUGUGUUUUGAACCUUUCUUUAUCGAUCUAUAACGAAAAAUUUUUUUCGAUUUGCUCGAAAUUUUCUAAGUCAAACUUUGGUCGAAAUUUUCUAAGCCAACACGGCUAAGAAUUCAUUUGCAUACGGCUUGUACUCUGAAAAUCAUCUCAAAAUGCGCUUUAAAAUUCUCCUGUGCCAAAACGUUCUGCAUCAAUAUGCGUUUUGAACCUUUCUCAGUGGAUCUAUAACAAAAUUUUUGCCCGAAAUGAAAGACGGCUUAGCACGGCUUAGCACGGCUUAGCAUUUCUCAUUUGCAUUCGCCUUGUACUCAGAAAAUCAUCUCAAAAUACGCUUUAAAAUUCUCCUGUGCCAAAACGUUCGGCAUCAAUAUGUGUUUUGAACCUUUCUUUAUCGAUCUAUAACGAAAAAUUUUUUUCGAUUUGCUCGAAAUUUUCUAAGUCAAACUUUGGUCGAAAUUUUCUAAGACAACACGGCUAAGAAUUCAUUUGCAUACGGCUUGUACUCUGAAAAUCAUCUCAAAAUGCGCUUUAAAAUUCUCCUGUGCCAAAACGUUCGGCAUCAAUAUGCGUUUUGAACCUUUCUCAGUGGAUCUAUAACAAAAUUUUUUUUUUCAUUUUGCCCGAAAUGAAAGACGGCUUAGCACGGCUUAGCACGGCUUAGCAUUUCUCAUUUGCAUUCGCCUUGUACUCAGAAAAUCAUCUCAAAAUACGCUUUAAAAUUUUCCUGUGCCAAAACGUUCGGCAUCAAUAUGUGUUUUGAACCUUUCUUUAUCGAUCUAUAACGAAAAAUUUUUUUGGAUUUGCUCGCAAUUUUCUAAGUCAAACUUUGGUCGAAAUUUUCUAAGACAACACGGCUAAGAAUUCAUUUGCAUACGGCUUGUACUCUGAAAAUCAUCUCAAAAUGCGCUUUAACACUCUCCUGUGCCAAAACGUUCUGCAUCAAUAUGCGUUUUGAACCUUUCUCAGUGGAUCUAUAACAAAAUUUUUUUUUUUCAUUUUGCCCGAAAUGAAAGACGGUUUAGCACGGCUUAGCACGGCUUAGCACGGCUUAGCAUUUCUCAUUUGCAUGCGCCUUGUACUCAGAAAAUCAUCUCAAAAUACGCUUUAAAAUUCUUGUGUGCCAAAACGUUCGGCAUCAAUAUGUGUUUUGAACCUUUCUUUAUCGAUCUAUAACGAAAAAUUUUUUUCGAUUUGCUCGAAAUUUUCUAAGUCAAACUUUGGUCGAAAUUUUCUAAGUCAACACGGCUAAGAAUUCAUUUGCAUACGGCUUGUACUCUGAAAAUCAUCUCAAAAUGCGCUUUAAAAUUCUCCUCUGCCAAAACGUUCUGCAUCAGUAUGCGUUUUGAACCUUUCUCAGUGGAUCUAUAACAAAAUUUUUUUUUUCAUUUUGCCCGAAAUGAAAGACGGCUUAGCAGCACGGCUUAGCACGGCUUAGCACGGCUUAGCAUUUCUCAUUUGCAUUCGCCUUGUACUCAGAAAAUCAUCUCAAAAUACGCUUUAAAAUUCUCCUGUGCCAAAACGUUCGGCAUCAAUAUGUGUUUUGAACCUUUCUUUAUCGAUCUAUAACGAAAAAUUUUUUUCGAUUUGCUCGAAAUUUUCUAAGUCAAACUUUGCUCGAAAUUUUCUAAGCCAACACGGCUAAGAAUUCAUUUGCAUACGGCUUGUACUCUGAAAAUCAUCUCAAAAUGCGCUUUAAAAUUCUCCUCUGUCAAAACGUUCUGCAUCAGUAUGCGUUUUGAACCUUUCUCAGUGGAUCUAUAACAAAAUUUUUUUUUUCAUUUUGCCCGAAAUGAAAGACGGCUUAGCACGGCUUACCACGGCUUAGCAUUUCUCAUUUGCAUUCGCCUUGUACUCAGAAAAUCAUCUCAAAAUACGCUUUAAAAUUCUCCUGUGCCAAAACGUUCGGCAUCAAUAUGUGUUUUCAACCUUUCUUUAUCGAUCUAUAACGAAAAUUUUUUUUCGAUUUGCUCGAAAUUUUAUAAGUCAAACUUUGGUCGAAAUUUUCUAAGCCAACACGGCUAAGAAUUCAUUUGCAUGCGGCUUGUACUCUGAAAAUCAUCUCAAAAUGCGCUUUAAAAUUCUCCUGUGCCAAAACGUUCUGCAUCAAUAUGCGUUUUGAACCUUUCUCAGUGGAUCUAUAACAAAAUUUUUGCCCGAAAUGAAAGACGGCUUAGCACGGCUUAGCACGGCUUAGCAUUUCUCAUUUGCAUUCGCCUUGUACUCAGAAAAUCAUCUCAAAAUACGCUUUAAAAUUCUCCUGUGCCAAAACGUUCGGCAUCAAUAUGUGUUUGAACCUUUCUUUAUCGAUCGAUAACGAAAAUUUUUUUUCGAUUUACUCGAAAUUUUCUAAGUCAAACUUUGGUCGAAAUUUUCUAAGAAACACGGCUAAGAAUUCAUUUGCAUACGGCUUGUACUCUGAAAAUCAUCUCAAAAUGCGCUUUAAAAUUCUCCUGUGCCAAAACGUUCGGCAUCAAUAUGCGUUUUGAACCUUUCUCAGUGGAUCUAUAACAAAAUUUUUUUUUCAUUUUGCCCGAAAUGAAAGACGGCUUAGCACGGCUUAGCACGGCUUAGCAUUUCUCAUUUGCAUGCGCCUUGUACUCAGAAAAUCAUCUCAAAAUACGCUUUAAAAUUCUCCUGUGCCAAAACGUUCGGCAUCAAUAUGUGUUUUGAACCUUUCUUUAUCGAUCUAUAACGAAAAUUUUUUUUCGAUUUACUCGAAAUUUUCUAAGUCAAACUUUGGUCGAAAUUUUCUAAGACAACACGGCUAAGAAUUCAUUUGCAUACGGCUUGUACUCUGAAAAUCAUCUCAAAAUGCGCUUUAAAAUUCUCCUGUGCCAAAACGUUCUGCAUCAAUAUGCGUUUUGAACCUUUCUCAGUGGAUCUAUAACAAAAAUUUUUUUUUUCAUUUUGCCCGAAAUGAAAGACGGCUUAGCACGGCUUAGCACGGCUUAGCACGGCUUAGCAUUUCUCAUUUGCAUGCGCCUUGUACUCAGAAAAUUAUCUCAAAAUACGCUUUAAAUUCUCCUGGGGCAGAACGUUCUGCAUCAAUAUGUGUUUUGAACCUUUCUUAAUCGAUCUAUAGCAAAAAAAUUUGUCGAUUUGCCCGAAAUUUUCUCAGACGGAUAACGGUUAAGCGUAAUAGAAAUCGAGAAUAAUACAUGGUGCGCGGAAAUACCAGAUUUAUUUCGAGUGUUGAAUAUGAUAUCUCACGAGUGAGCUGGCGCAGCGAACGAGUGAGUUAUCAUGUUCAACACGCGAAAUAAAUCUAGUAUUUCCAAGCACCCAUGUAUUUUUCUGUUUAUUAUGUAAAGAACAGUCUUUGAAAAGCGAUAAUUUUUACAGAAAAGCGAUAAUUGAAAAGCGUUAUAAAAGUCUCGUAAAUUUUGGUAUAAUUAUUCUUUAUUUCCUUUUGCCAUAUUUUUUCCAAAAGUUCCCAAAUGGCACCUCAUAACAGCUUAAUACUCAUAUUUUGAUAAUCUUUUGUAUAUUUAGACAAUUUUGAGUCGAUUUAACUGAACAACACGAUCAAGAGAAUUCUUAUGCAGG
rnacentral:lncRNA from 1 species